rnacentral:rRNA from 1 species
UACGAAGGGGGCUAGCGUUGUUCGGAAUUACUGGGCGUAAAGCGCACGUAGGCGGGCGAUUAAGUCAGGGGUGAAAUCCCGGAGCUCAACUCCGGAACUGCCUUUGAUACUGGUCGUCUAGAGAUCGGAAGAGGUGAGUGGAAUUCCCAGUGUAGAGGUGAAAUUCGUAGAUAUUGGGAAGAACACCGGUGGCGAAGGCGGCGACCUGGUCCGUUACUGACGCUGAGGCGCGACAGCGUGGGGGAGCAAACAGG